GACGAACGCUGGCGGCGUGCCUAAUACAUGCAAGUAGAACGCUGAAGGAGGAGCUUGCUUCUCUGGAUGAGUUGCGAACGGGUGAGUAACGCGUAGGUAACCUGCCUGGUAGCGGGGGAUAACUAUUGGAAACGAUAGCUAAUACCGCAUAAUAGUAGAUGUCGCAUGACAUUUGCUUAAAAGGUGCAAUUGCAUCACUACCAGAUGGACCUGCGUUGUAUUAGCUAGUUGGUGAGGUAACGGCUCACCAAGGCAAGGAUACAUAGCCGACGUGAGAGGGUGAGCGGCCACACUGGGAGGGAGACACGCCCCAGACUCCUACGGGAGGCAGCAGUAGGGAAUCGGCGGCAAUGGGCGGAAGUCUGACCGAGCAAGGCCGCGUGAGUGAAGAAGGUUUUCGGGUCGGAAAGCUCGGUUGUAAGGGAAGAACGAGUGUGAGAGUGGAAAGUUCACACUGUGACGGUAUCUGACCAGAAAGCGACGGCUAACUACGUG
rnacentral:rRNA from 1 species